AAGCCGUAACAAGGUUUCCGUAGGUGAUCAUUAACACGUAUCCAAACGUUAAAAACCCCCCCCGUGAACAUUCAAUCCUGCUCUUGUAACCCGCGGCGCUUGCAAGCAGUCAGUGUCUGAAAGCGUCAUUGAUUGUGCAAGGAUAGCGCUUCACGAUUCCUGUAGACCAUACACUCGGGCAGGAGCUAGGCCAAAAGGUCACCAUGCCCCCUUACAACCCCAAGUUUAUAGAUAUCUUGGUUCUC
rnacentral:misc_RNA from 1 species